UAAGUGCUCUCUGUGGGGUGA
rnacentral:miRNA from 1 species